rnacentral:lncRNA from 1 species
GGAACAUAUAAGAACCUUAACAUUGCAGCCACAUUUUUGGUUGCAACUGUUUUUUAAAACAUUGGAUGAGAGAUUCAGUCAUUAAAUGUUCAUUAACAAACGCAUACUGCAACAAAUCCCCUUCAAAUUUUAGGCUCAGUAAAUAGACAUCUUAGAUUUCAAUAUUAAGCACCAGUACAUGUCUCACAAUAAUAUAAUAUACAAGUAUGCACUAGGUAAAAAUGCAUUUAGCUUUUCUUUAAAAAAUGGACUUCAUCGACAAGUGGAAAAAUCUGAAAGAGCACGCAGUCCGCGACUCUUCGAAGUUUUACUUUCAGAGUGAAACAUACCAUCAGGAAAAGGCGAGAACCUAACGGCAUUAGUUAGUCUCUGGAACAAUUUCACUAACAUCUAGGUCUACUAUGUUCUCUUUUCCGAACAUGGUAAAAUGCACGCUCACCAUUUUGGUUUUGCUGUUCAGCUUCUUGAGAGUACCUGCAAACCCUAAAAAUGAUCCAGAUAUAAUUUGAACAGUAGAACCUGUUACAAGUUUAGGUUUUUUUUUAGCUGAUGAAGCUUCUUCUGUGAUUGUUAGUUGGUUAGAGGUUUUUCUAGAGCCCCUUUUAGGCUUUGAAUCGACAAUAGCUUUUGAAACAUCCGAUUCUAACUCUUUAUUGGGAUUCCCAGAGUUUACGGCAGCCUUUU